rnacentral:rRNA from 1 species
UACGUAGGGUGCGAGCGUUGUCCGGAAUUAUUGGGCGUAAAGGGCUCGUAGGCGGUUUGUCGCGUCGGGAGUGAAAUCCACUGGCUUAACUGGUGGCUUGCUUUCGAUACGGGCAGACUGGAGGUAUGCAGGGGAGAACGGAAUUCCUGGUGUAGCGGUGAAAUGCGCAGAUAUCAGGAGGAACACCGGUGGCGAAGGCGGUUCUCUGGGCAUGUCCUGACGCUGAGGCGCGAAAGCUAGGGGAGCAAACGGG